rnacentral:rRNA from 1 species
UACGGCGAGUGAAGCGGUAAAAGCUCAAAUUUGAAAUCUGGUACUUUCAGUGCCCGAGUUGUAAUUUGUAGAAUUUGUCUUUGAUUAGGUCCUUGUCUAUGUUCCUUGGAACAGGACGUCAUAGAGGGUGAGAAUCCCGUUUGGCGAGGAUACCUUUUCUCUGUAAGACUUUUUCGAAGAGUCGAGUUGUUUGGGAAUGCAGCUCAAAGUGGGUGGUAAAUUCCAUCUAAAGCUAAAUAUUGGCGAGAGACCGAUAGCGAACAAGUACAGUGAUGGAAAGAUGAAAAGAACUUUGAAAAGAGAGUGAAAAAGUACGUGAAAUUGUUGAAAGGGAAGGGCAUUUGAUCAGACAUGGUGUUUUUUGCAUGCACUCGCCUCUCGUGGGCUUGGGCCUCUCAAAAAUUUCACUGGGCCAACAUCAAUUCUGGCAGCAGGAUAAAUCAUUAAGAAUGUAGCUACUUCGGUAGUGUUAUAGCUUUUUGGAAUACUGUUAGCCGGGAUUGAGGACUGCGCUUCGGCAAGGAUGUUGGCAUAAUGGUUAAAUGCCGCCCGUCUUG